AUAGAUACCCGGGUAGUCCUAGCCGUAAACGAUGAACACUAGGCGUAGUCGGUAUCGACCCCGGCUGUGCCGUAGCUAACGCAUUAAGUGUUCCGCCUGGGGAGUACGGCCGCAAGGCUAAACUCAAAGGGAAUUGGACGGGGCCCGCACAAGCAGCGGAGCGUGUGGUUUAAUUCGUCGCAACGCGAAGAACCUUACCAGGGCUUGACAUGUGGCGGAAAACGGCGGAAACGUCGUCCUCCCGCAAGGGACCGUCAUGCAGGUGUUGCAUGGCUGUCGUCAGCUCGUGUCGUGAGAUGUUGGGUUAAGUCCCGCAACGAGCGCAACCCCCGUGGCAUGUUGUAUCUCUCAUGCCAGACUGCCGAGAGAAACUCGGAGGAAGGUGGGGAUGACGCCAAGUCAGCAUGGCCCUUACGUCCUGGGCUACACACACGCUACAAUGGCCGGUACAACGGGUUGCCAAACCGCGAGGUGGAGCUAAUCCCUUAAAGCCGGUCUCAGUUCGGAUUGCAGGCUGCAACUCGCCUGCA
rnacentral:rRNA from 1 species